rnacentral:rRNA from 1 species
ACGGCUCAGUAACACGUGGACAAUCUGCCCUUGGGUCUGGGAUAACUCCGGGAAACUGGAGAUAAUACCAGAUAGGUCAUAGAUGCUGGAAUGCUCUAUGGCCCAAAGCUCCGGCGCCCAAGGAUGAGUCUGCGGCCUAUCAGGUUGUAGUGGGCGUAACGGACCCACUAGCCUACGACGGGUACGGGUUGUGAGAGCAAGAGCCCGGAGAUGGAUUCUGAGACAUGAAUCCAGGCCCUACGGGGCGCAGCAGGCGCGAAACCUUUACAAUGCGCGCAAGCGCGAUAAGGGGACCUCGAGUGUUCCUACCUAGUAGGAACUGUCCAGUUGUCUAAAAAACAACUGUUAGCAAGAGCCGGGCAAGACCGGUGCCAGCCGCCGCGGUAACACCGGCGGCUCGAGUGGUGACCGCUUUUAUUGGGUCUAAAGGGUCUGUAGCCGGUCUAACAAGUUCUUUGGAAAAUCUGGUCGCUUAACGAUCAGGCUGCUAGGGGAUACUGUUAGACUUGGGACCGGGAGAGGCUAGAGGUACUUUAGGGGUAGGGGUGAAAUCCUGUGAUCCUUAAAGGACCACCAGUGGCGAAGGCGUCUAGCUAGAACGGAUCCGACGGUGAGGGACGAAAGCUGGGGGCACGAACCGGAUUAGAUACCCGGGUAGUCCCAGCCGUAAACGAUGCGAGCUAGGUGUCAGUUUUACUGCGAGUAAAAUUGGUGCCGUAGGGAAGCCGUGAAGCUCGCCACCUGGGAAGUACGGCCGCAAGGCUGAAACUUAAAGGAAUUGGCGGGGGAGCACUACAACGGGUGGAGCCUGCGGUU